rnacentral:lncRNA from 1 species
GGCAGGACCAGUGUGGCCAGCAGGGCUCCUGCUUGGUGUACCAGAAUUCGGCCAUGAGCCGCUACAUACUCAUCAUGGGGCUCCUGUACAAGGUGCUGGGCGUCCUCUUCUUUGCCAUAGCCUGCUUCUUAUACAAGCCCCUGUCGGAGUCUUCAGAUGGCCUGGAAACUUGUCUGCCCAGCCAGUCCUCAGCCCCUGACAGUGCCACAGAUAGCCAGCUCCAGAGCAGCGUCUGACCACCGCCCGCGCCCACCCGGCCACGGCGGGCACUCAGCAUUUCCUGAUGACAGAACAGUGCCGUUGGGUGAUGCAAUCACACGGGAACUUCUAUUUGACCUGCAACCUUCUACUUAACCUGUGGUUUAAAGUCGGCUGUGACCUCCUGUCCCCAGAGCUGUACGGCCCUGCAGUGGGUGGGAGGAACUUGCAUAAAUAUAUAUUUAUGGACACAC